rnacentral:rRNA from 1 species
UACGGAGGGUGCAAGCGUUGUUCGGAAUUAUUGGGCGUAAAGGGCGUGUAGGUGGCACUCCAAGUCUGUUGUGAAAGCCCACGGCUCAACCGUGGAACUGCAAUGGAAACUGGGGCGCUCGAGUAUUGGAGGGGGUCGCGGAAUUCCCGGUGUAGAGGUGAAAUUCGUAGAUAUCGGGAGGAACACCAGCGGCGAAGGCGGCUUUCUGGACCAAUACUGACGCUGAGACGCGAAAGCGUGGGGAGCAAACAGGAUUAGAAACCCGUAGUAGU